rnacentral:rRNA from 1 species
GAAUUUAAUAUAAGUUUUAAUUAGAAAAUUUUAUAAAAAUGAUAUAUUUAUAAUUUAUAUUUGGUUGGGAGGAUUAUUAAAUUAUAUUAACUUUAGGGUUAAAAAACAUUGAUUUAUGAAUUUUAAUGAUUAAUAUUUUUUAAUUGAUAAUUAAUAAAUUUUAUUAAAGAAUUAAUUACCUUAGGGAUAACAGCGUAAUAUUUUUAAAAAGAUCUUAUUGAUAAAAGUGAUUGC